GGGAGAAGCCGGCGAGGAGGAGGAGGAGAAGAAGGAAGAAGGCGCCCCGAGUCUUUCUCCAACCCGGGCUUCCCUUCUCCUGGGCGUCAGCCCACCAGAUGAGAAAAACGCUGUAGAAAUUCAAGGCUUAGAGACCCCCACCAUGCCGCUUGGUCUUGCCAGCCACAAAGCAAACAGAAUGUUUCUUCAGCAUUAGGGCAAGAUGGAACAGAAGUGGCAACAAUGCAAGCAUGUGCUCAGAAGGCAAGAGCAUCAUCUGCCAUGCUAUCGUAUUCCUGGGACCUUUUAACCCAACAGCAUCAGAAUAUUGGAAUGUAUCUUGUAACAGACUGCAGCUCGUAAACAUGGAGGCAAUGAAAGUUGAAGGGCUGGACAAUGAACAGAAUUUUUAAUGAAAUGGAGUCUUUUUUCUUGUUGUUUUCUCCUCAAGUAGUGAUCAGAGAGAGUUUAUAAGAAUUUAGAUGACAACAUGGCUCAUUUUGAUACUGAGUAUCAGCGAUUGGAGGCCUCAUAUAAUGACUCUCCCCCUGGAGAAGAAAAUCUGAUGGUCCAUGUCCCUGAGGGCAGCAAAUCUCCCUGGCAUCACAUUGAAAAUCUGGAUCUUUUUUUCUCUCGAGUCUAUAACCUGCACCAGAAGAAUGGCUUCACAUGCAUGCUUAUCAGUGAGAUCUUUGAGUUAAUGCAGUUCAUCUUUGUUGUGGCCUUUACUACAUUCCUUGUCAGCUGUGUUGACUAUGAUAUUCUCUUUGCCAACAAACUGGUGAAUCACAGUCAGCAUUCCAGUGACCCAGUCAAGGUGACUCUGCCAGAUGCUUUCCUGCCUCCCAAUGAGUGCAGUGCCAGAAUCCAGGCCAAUGGAUUUCUUCUCUCCAUCCUAGUGAUUGCAGGGGUCUUUUGGAUUCACCGGCUGAUUAAAUUCAUUUACAACAUUUGCUGCUACUGGGAAAUACAUUCUUUUUAUGUGAAUGCGCUCAAGAUUCCCAUGUCCAAUUUGCCCUACUAUACCUGGCAGGAGGUACAAGCACGGAUUAUACAAAUCCAAAAGGAGCACCAGAUCUGCAUUCAUAAGAAGGAGCUGACAGAACUGGACAUCUACCACCGCAUCUUGCGCUUCAAGAACUACAUGGUAGCCAUAGUGAACAAGUCACUCCUGCCUGUGCGCUUCCAUCUUCCCCUCCUGGGAGAUACUGUCUUCUAUACCCGUGGUCUCAAGUACAACUUUGAACUCAUUUUCUUUUGGGGCCCUGGCUCACUCUUUGAGAACGAAUGGAGUCUGAAGGCUGAGUACAAGCGUGGUAGCAAUCGCAUGGAGCUGGCUGACAAACUGGGCACCCGUAUCUUAUGGAUUGGCAUUGCUAAUUUUCUCCUUUGUCCACUUAUACUUAUAUGGCAGAUUCUUUAUGCUUUCUUCAGUUACACUGAAAUUCUCAAGAGAGAACCAGGCAGCCUGGGUGCCCGUUGCUGGUCUCUUUAUGGCCGCUGCUACCUGCGACAUUUUAAUGAGCUUGACCAUGAGUUGCACUCGAGACUCAGCAAAGGCUAUAAGCCAGCUUCCAAGUACAUGAACUGUUUCAUUUCUCCCCUGUUUACUAUUGUGGCGAAGAACGUGGCCUUCUUUGCUGGUUCUAUCCUUGCUGUCCUCAUUGCCCUCACAAUUUAUGAUGAAGAUGUACUAGCUGUAGAACAUGUUCUCACAACUGUCACCAUCCUGGGAGUGGCUGUCACUGUCUGUAGGUCCUUCAUUCCCGACCAACACCUGGUUUUCUGCCCAGAACAGCUGCUUCGAGUGAUUCUGGCACACAUUCAUUACAUGCCUGACCACUGGCAAGGAAAUGCCCAUCGUUAUGAAACCAGAGAUGAAUUCGCUCAACUCUUCCAGUACAAGGCGGUGUUCAUUCUGGAAGAGCUGCUUAGUCCCAUUGUGACGCCCUUGAUUCUCAUUUUCUGUCUGAGGCCCAAAGCUUUGGAGAUCAUCGACUUCUUCCGCAACUUUACAGUGGAGGUGGUGGGUGUGGGAGACACUUGCUCCUUUGCCCAAAUGGAUGUGCGCCAGCAUGGGCAUCCUGCAUGGAUGUCAGCUGGGAAGACAGAAGCCUCCAUUUAUCAGCAGGCUGAGGAUGGCAAGACAGAGCUGUCCCUCAUGCAUUUUGCCAUCACCAAUCCACACUGGCAACCGCCUCGGGAGAGCACAGCUUUCAUUGGCUUGCUAAAGGAGCGGGUGCACCGUGAUAGCAGCCUGGCAUUGGCCCAGCAGGCUGUCUUGCCUGACAAUGCCCUGUUCACCUCUAUCCAGUCACUACAGUCUGAAUCUGAGCCACACAGUCUGAUUGCCAACGUGAUUGCUGGCUCCUCGGCACUUGGGUACCAGACAAUUCGUGAUGCACAGACUUCAAGGCAUCUGUCUGCUGUCUCUGAGGUGGCAUCUGCUUUGCGUUCCUUCUCCCCUCUUCAGUCUACCCAGACAAUACAUGGUAGUUCCCAUGCUGAUGGUGCCCAGCUUCGGGGACAUGGUAUAAUGACAAGCUCGGGGGUGGAUGCCAGGACAGCAAGCUCUGGAAGUAGUGCUUGGGAAGGUCAGCUCCAGAGCCUAAUUCUUUCAGAAUAUGCCUCUACUGAGAUGAGCCUGCAUGCUCUCUAUAUGCAUGAGCUGCACAAGCAGCAUGCCCAGUUGGACCUUGAACGACACUUGUGGCACCGGCAGGAGAGUGAUGAGAGUGGCGAGAGUGCCCAGGAAGACCCAGAGGCCCAGAGGAACACCCCUAGCAGCACCAUGCCUCGCUCGGCCAGCUAUCCUUUUGCCUCCCCACGCCAAGUUGGUGAUGAGGCAUCUGCUCUACAGGCAGGCUUCCAGCGCCGUUAUGGUGGUGUCUCGGAUCCUGGUCCAGUGAAUAGGGCUCCAUCACACUUUGCUCGGCUGCCACUUGGGGGCUGGGCAGAAGAUGGCCAAGCUGCUCGACACCCAGAGCCAGUCCCGGAAGAGAGCUCAGAAGAUGAGUUGCCACCUCAGCUACACAAGGUGUAACUGUGAAGGCUGAAGAUCCAAUGGGGGUUCCAGACCUGGGGCCUGUCUCGGCUGGUGGAGCAAUGAGUUACACUGCCCUAGAAGAUACGGGUUAGCUCAAGGAUCCAUGGCCUGGACAUCAGAAUCCAAGGGUAACCGAUGUGAUGGUGUCAGUGGUGUCUUUGGGGUGGGCAGAACUCUAUCCAGACAUGCAUCAUACCGGUGACACAUUCGCUGUGCAUAGGCUGGGUGUGUGUGUAUUUACAUAUAUUGUCUGUAUCUACAUACGUGUUGUCUGUGUUGGAGAACCAUCCAAGACCUGCACAGAAUGCCACAGAGCACACACGAGAUGGGAGAGACAAGCAAUGCUCACCCUGCCUGAUGAAAUGUUCUUCAGUUGGGAAAAGGACCUGCUUGUGGAUCUUGUUCAGCAGCCAGAAGAGCUGCUCCAUUGUCUAAACUGCAACAUGAUUAAAGAUGCAAUCAGGAUGUAGAUUUGGACUCAGGAAAAGAAGGGCUGUGAAAGAUUAUUUUUGUAACAGGAAUUGAGAGCCAGGCUUCCUCCACCCACUGACAGAGCCUGACUCAACUGAAGCGGUCGCACAUAGCAAGGGAAUACAUCUUUGAUUUUUCCAUUCCACAUUGAUGCCAGACUAGAAGAAAAGAACCCCCUUGCAGUGCUAUCAUUUCUAUCACAGGAUUUGCCUUUCUUUGGGCAUAAUUGAUUUCUCAUCGCUUGGGGACUAUAUUCAUUUCAUGUCCUACCCCCAUAUCAGAUCACAGGUUUAUCAUGGUAAUGUUUGCCUGAGCCAGGAUCUGAAGUGAUCUAAGUCAGCUUUAUGAAAUAAUGCCAGGCCUAAAAGCUUUGAAAGAAAGUCUGCCCUAAAAGCCCUCGGUUCUCCUGCUGAGACCCAGAAUCAAGAAUAAGAGUGUGUGUGUGUGUGUGUGUGUGAGAGAGAGAGAGAGAGAAGGGGGUGGGGGAGUGGAGAUUACCAGUGCUUAUCAGAGGCAUGAUAGGCAUAUCAUAUUUAAGUACAGUACUUCUUAAUAUCCUGCUUGGCGUCUCCAAAUUGGUGCUGCCCCAUUUGUGAUUUUCUUUUUGUUUUGUCUUUGGGUGCCUUGAUGGUAAUUAUGCAGCUCUCAUGGAAAUACUACAUUUUGUAUGCCAAAAAAAGCUAUCUUAAAAAACUCAAGAAGGGAUGACUUUCAUGUUUUUACAAAAAGAGUUAAUUAAGCUCACAAUUCAACUGAUAAAGCCCUAUUUCAAACUGUCUGCAGAAACACUGGUUUUCCAUUCUUGCCCUUGGUCUUCUGUCCUUUCUGUAUUAUUUUUAGGCUAGCUGGGCCUAGUUAAGUAGUAGAAACUAUUGUGGUUUUCUUUUUCUUUAAGCACUAUUUUUUUUCUGAUUAUUUGGGGGGGGGAGUGGGAAGCCCAUCGUCACAAUAGGCCAUAUUUUAAAUUCGCCUUAGCCUUUUAGGUAAUGAUCGCUGACAACCACUACUUUGUGUUAAGGAAGUAAAUUAUCCCAGAUUAUAUAUUCUGUUUUCAUUUUUCACAGACUAGGCUGUGUAGGAUCCCAUAGCUGAUUUUUCUAGGGAUGUUUCAUGUUUACAAAAGCCAGACCCCGGGGGGGGGGGAGUGGGUUGAAGGAAAACAAAAACAGAUAAUAUAUCCUCAGUUUCCACAGACUUGUUUCUAGUUCAUGGCUCAGUAUUUUCCUGUACUCAUCAUCAUUUCUUUCCCAGUAGUUUUAUCAAGUAUCUAUGGGAUAGGGGAAAUGUUGUUGAGCUGCAACUGCAGUGUGUUGUCUGCCAAGAAAUAAAAACUUCCAAUAGUUACCCUGCAGGUGCUGUUUCCUGGGCUGAUAAGAGCUGUAGUCCAGAUGUCUGGAGUACGACUACCAUUGACCUGUAAGGCAG